ACACCGGCAGCUCGAGUGGUAGCUGUUUUUAUUGGGCCUAAAGCGUUCGUAGCCGGUUUAAUAAGUCUUUGGUGAAAGCUUGUAGCUUAACUAUAAGAAUUGCUGGAGAUACUAUUGGACUUGAAGUCGGGAGAGGUUAGAGGUACUACCGGGGUAGGGGUGAAAUCCUAUAAUCCUGGGAGGACCACCUGUGGCGAAGGCGUCUAACUGGAACGAUCUUGACGGUGAGUAACGAAAGCCAGGGGCGCGAACCGGAUUAGAUAGCCGGGUAGUCCUGGCCGUAAACGAUGUGGACUUGGUGUUGGAAUGGCUUUGAGUUGUUCCGGUGCCGAAGGGAAGCUGUUAAGUCCACCGCCUGGGAAGUACGGUCGCAAGAUUGAAACUCAAAGGAAUUGACGGGG
rnacentral:rRNA from 1 species